CAGUAGCCGCGGGAAUACGAAGGGGGCUAGCGUUGCUCGGAAUGACUGGGCGUAAAGGGCGCGUAGGCGGAUGGCACAGUCAGAUGUGAAAUUCCUGGGCUUAACCUGGGGGCUGCAUUUGAUACGUGUUGUCUAGAGUGUGAAAGAGGGUCGUGGAACUCCCAGUGUAGAGGUGAAAUUCGUAGAUAUUGGGAAGAACACCGGUGGCGAAGGCGGCGACCUGGUUCAUGACUGACGCUGAGGCGCGAAAGCGUGGGGAGCAAACAGGAUUAGAUACCCGCGUAGUCCCUGUCUCUUAUAC
rnacentral:rRNA from 1 species